UACGAAGGGGGCUAGCGUUGCUCGGAAUUACUGGGCGUAAAGGGAGCGUAGGCGGGUUAUCAAGUUGGGGUGAAAGCCCGGGGCUCAACCUCGGAAUUGCCUUCAAAACUGAUAACCUGGAGUAUGGAAGAGGUAAGUGGAACUCCGAGUGUAGAGGUGAAAUCGUAGAUAUUCGGAAGAACACCAGUGGCGAAGGCGACUUACUGGUCCAUUACUGACGCUGAGGCUCGAAAGCGUGGGGAGCAAACAGGA
rnacentral:rRNA from 1 species